GUUGGAUAACUGAGGUAAUUCUUGAGCUAAUACACGCUUUUUAUACCACAUUAGUGGUGCGUUUAUUUGAUUAAACCAUUUUUUCGGUUGACUCAAAAUAUCCUUGCUGAUUUUGUUAUUAAAACAUACCGUAUGUGUAUCUGGUUUAUCAACUUUCGAUGGUAGGGUAUUGGCCUACCAUGGUUGUGACGGAUAACGGAGAAUUAGGGUUCGACUCCGGAGAGGGAGCCUGAGAAACGGCUACCACAUCCAAGGAAGGCAGCAGGCGCGAAAAUUACCCAAUUUUAGUUCAAAGAGGUAGUGACGAAAAAUGACAACCAAAUAUUAUUAUUAAUAUUUGGAUUGAAAAUCUUCAAGUUUAAAUAACUUGUUGGUAAAGGAAAGGGCAAGUCUGGUGCCAGCAGCCGCGGUAAUACCAGCUUUCCAAGUGCAUAAAAUGAUUGUUGUGGUUAAAAAGCUCGUAGUUGGAUUAUAAAGAUUGUGUAAUGAGCAUCUUGGAUGUUUUAAUUUCAUUACCAUCUUAUUAUUUUUAUUAUAUUUUUCGUAAUAUAAUAAACUGUUACUUUGAAUAAAUCAGAGGGUUUAAACCAGGCAUUAUAUGCUUGUAUGGUCUAGCAUGGAAUAACACUAUAGAAAAAGUUAGUGUGGUUUCACUAAUCUUUUUCAUGAUUAAUAGGAACAAACGGGGGCAUUCGUAUCGCUACGUUAGAGGUGAAAUUCUUGGACCGUAGCGAGACGUCCUACUGCGAAAGCAUUUGCCAAGAAUGUUUUCAUUAAUCAAGAACGAAAGUUAGAGGUUCGAAGGCGAUCAGAUACCGCCCUAGUUCUAACCGUAAACUAUGCCUACUAGGUGUAUGAAUUAUUAGUUAUAAUAAUUUAUGCACCUUCUCGGAAACGAAAGUCUUUCGGUUCCGGGGGAAGUAUGGUUGCAAAGCUGAAACUUAAAGGAAUUGACGGAAGGGCACCACCAGGAGUGGAGCCUGCGGCUUAAUUUGACUCAACACGGGAAAACUCACCCGGGCCGGACACUAUAAGGAUUGACAGAUUGAUAGCUCUUUCAUGAUUUAGUGGUUGGUGGUGCAUGGCCGUUCUUAGUUCGUGGAUAUGAUUUGUCUGGUUGAUUCCGAUAACGAGCGAGACUUUUAUGUUAUAUUAAAUAAUAUUAUUAUUAUUUAUUAAUAAUAUUUAUUUUAAUAACAGAUUAAUAGUGUUUAACUAUUUGAGAGAGAGCAAUAACAGGUCUGUGA
rnacentral:rRNA from 1 species